AUGCUUCAAACCAGACCAACCAUGUUGCCGGAGUCCCCAUUGCACCGUCGUCUUUACUUGGGAUGCCUACCUACCUUCCGCCUGGACAGGUGACUGCACUGCAUCCAUUCAUUCUGCAUCAACAGGGGAUUCCUCAUUCUAUGCCAUCACAUGUUCCUCAAUCUCAUGUUGCGCAUUUUAACUCGAUACCAGCAAUGUCAUCCCUUCCACAGUGGCAGAACCAGCAGGCUGCAUCAGAGGGUGCUCAAUUAUCUACACCGAAUCAACUGACUUCAUCCCAAACUGAUCACAACCUUAUGAGAU
rnacentral:misc_RNA from 1 species